CGAGCGGAGCAAAUCCGAAAAAGCCGGUCUCAGUUCGGAUUGCAGGCUGCAAUUCGCCUGCAUGAAGUCGGAAUCGCUAGUAAUCGCAGGUCAGCAUACUCGCGGUCGAAUACGUUCCCGGGCCUU
rnacentral:rRNA from 1 species